rnacentral:rRNA from 1 species
GACGAACGCUGGCGGCGUGCCUAAUACAUGCAAGUUGAGCGCUGAAGGUUGGUACUUGUACCAACUGGAUGAGCAGCGAACGGGUGAGUAACGCGUGGGGAAUCUGCCUUUGAGCGGGGGACAACAUUUGGAAACGAAUGCUAAUACCGCAUAAAAACUUUAAACACAAGUUUUAAGUUUGAAAGAUGCAAUUGCAUCACUCAAAGAUGAUCCCGCGUUGUAUUAGCUAGUUGGUGAGGUAAAGGCUCACCAAGGCGAUGAUACAUAGCCGACCUGAGAGGGUGAUCGGCCACAUUGGGACUGGGACACGGCCCAAACUCCUACGGGGGGCAGCAGUAGGGAAUCUUCGGCAAUGGACGAAAGUCUGACCGAGCAACGCCGCGUGAGUGAAGAAGGUUUUCGGAUCGUAAAACUCUGUUGGUAGAGAAGAACGUUGGUGAGAGUGGAAAGCUCAUCAAGUGACGGUAACUACCCAGAAAGGGACGGCUAACUACGUG